AUUGAACGCUGGCGGCAGGCCUAACACAUGCAAGUCGAGUGAGCGGCGGACGGGUGAGUAAUGUAUGGGGACUGCCCGAUAGAGGGGGAUAACUACUGGAAACGGUGGCUAAUACCGCAUACUAUCGGAUCACCCAUAGGGGAUUAGCUAGUAGGUGGGGUAAAGGCUCAACUAGGCGACGAUCACUAGCUGGUCUGAGAGGAUGAUCGGCCACACUGGGACGGAGACACGGCCCCGACUCCUACGGAGGCAGAAGUGGGGAAUAUUGCACAAUGGGCGCAGGCCGGAUGCAGCAAUGCCGCGUGUAUGAAGAGGGCCUUAGAGUUGGAAAGUACUUUCAGCGGGGAGGCGGUACCCGCAGAGGAAGCACCGGCUAACUCCGUGCCAGCCGCCGCGGUAAUAC
rnacentral:rRNA from 1 species